UAACACUGAUUUAUCUUCAGAUCCUAUAAAUCUUUUGCCUUUUACUAAAGAUUUCAGGUGAGAGAAACAAAACUGAGUCUUUGGUUAAUUUUUGAGGUCUCGUUAUAAUGAGAC